rnacentral:rRNA from 1 species
GGCGGCGUGCUUAACACAUGCAAGUCGAGCGAUGAAGCACCUUCGGGUGUGAAUUAGCGGCGAACGGGUGAGGAACACGUGAGAAAUCUGCCUUCAACACUGGGAUAACUCCGGGAAACCGGGGCUAAUACCGGAUAUGAAACCUGCGGGCAUCCGCGGGUUUGGAAAGUUUUUCGGUUGAAGAUGAUCUCGCGGCCUAUCAGCUUGUUGGUGAGGUAAUGGCUCACCAAGGCGACGACGGGUAGCCGGCCUGAGAGGGCGACCGGCCACACUGGGACUGAGACACGGCCCAGACUCCUACGGGAGGCAGCAGUGGGGAAUAUUGGGCAAUGGAGGAAACUCUGACCCAGCGACGCCGCGUGCGGGAUGAAGGCCUUCGGGUUGUAAACCGCUUUCAGCAGGGAAGAAGCGAAAGUGACGGUACCUGCAGAAGAAGCACCGGCUAACUAUGUG